rnacentral:rRNA from 1 species
GACGAACGCUGGCGGCGUGCUUAACACAUGCAAGUCGAACGGAAAGGCCCUGCUUUUGUGGGGUGCUCGAGUGGCGAACGGGUGAGUAACACGUGAGUAACCUGCCCUUGACUUUGGGAUAACUUCAGGAAACUGGGGCUAAUACCGGAUAGGAGCUCCUGCUGCAUGGUGGGGGUUGGAAAGUUUCGGCGGUUGGGGAUGGACUCGCGGCUUAUCAGCUUGUUGGUGGGGUAGUGGCUUACCAAGGCUUUGACGGGUAGCCGGCCUGAGAGGGUGACCGGCCACAAUGGGACUGAGAUACGGCCCAGACUCCUACGGGAGGCAGCAGGGGGGAAUAUUGCACAGUGGGCGGAAGCCUGAUGCAGCAACGCCGCGUGCGGGAUGACGGCCUUCGGGUUGUAAACCGCUUUCGCCUGUGACGAAGCGUGAGUGACGGUAAUGGGUAAAGAAGCACCGGCUAACUACGUG